CGUAGGGUGCGAGCGUUAAUCGGAAUUACUGGGCGUAAAGCGUGCGCAGGCGGUUCGACAAGUCUGAUGUGAAAGCCCCGGGCUCAACCUGGGAAUGGCAUUGGAAACUGGCGGGCUAGAGUGUGGCAGAGGGGGGUGGAAUUCCGCGUGUAGCAGUGAAAUGCGUAGAGAUGCGGAGGAACACCGAUGGCGAAGGCAGCCCCCUGGGCCGACACUGACGCUCAGGCACGAAAGCGUGGGGAGCAAACAGGAUU
rnacentral:rRNA from 1 species